UUUAAAUUCUCUCCAUGUUGAUUACGUCCUAUGCCCUACGUCCCUGUCGAUUGCCAUCGCCACAGAGUCCCCCUUCCCCGUGCUGCAUCGGCCGCCCGCCGGCUGGAUGCACGUCCAGCGCAGUUCCUGGGGAUUGCUACUUAGGGGGGGCGGCUGGCAAUAGGCUACAUGAACUCUGCUGCUUUGCCUAUACGUCCGUCUUGACAACUCAUGUGUUCAGCCAAACAUCACUGG